rnacentral:rRNA from 1 species
UGCACCUACGGGACGCAGCAGUGAGGAAUAUUGGUCAAUGGGCGGGAGCCUGAACCAGCCAAGCCGCGUGAAGGAAGAAGGCGCCAAGCGUCGUAAACUUCUUUUGUCGGGGAACAAAGGGCGCCACGUGUGGCGUUGUGAGUGUACCCGAAGAAAAAGCAUCGGCUAACUCCGUGCCAGCAGCCGCGGUAAUACGUAGGGGGCAAGCGUUAUCCGGAUUCACUGGGUGUAAAGGGAGCGUAGACGGCGAGACAAGUCUGGAGUGAAAGGCCGGGGCCCAACCCCGGGACUGCUCUGGAAACUGC